rnacentral:rRNA from 1 species
UACGGAAGGCAGCAGUGGGGAAUAUUGCACAAUGGGCGCAAGCCUGAUGCAGCCAUGCCGCGUGUAUGAAAAAGGCCUUCGGGUUGUAAAGUACUUUCAGUCGUGAGGAAGGUGUUAAGGUUAAUAACCUUAGCAAUUGACGUUAGCGACAGAAGAAGCACCGGCUAACUCCGUGCCAGCAGCCGCGGUAAUACGGAGGGUGCGAGCGUUAAUCGGAAUUACUGGGCGUAAAGGGCACGCAGGCGGUUAAUUAAGUUGGAUGUGAAAUCCCCGGGCUUAACCUGGGAAUGGCAUUCAAGCUGGUUAGCUAGAGUCUUGUAGAGGGGGUAGAAUUCCAUGUGUAGCGGUGAAAUGCGUAGAGAUGUGGAGGAAUACCGGUGGCGAAGGCGGCCCCUGGACAAAGACUGACGCUCAUGUGCGAAAGCGUGGGGAGCAAACAGGGAUUAA